ensembl:lncRNA
GGUCAUGUGACUGUCAGGAGAGGAAACCAGAUGUCAGAGACAGGCAGCGUCACUCGGCGUGGGAGUAAUGAGAAGGCAGCAAGACGUGAAAAGGGAGACGGGAAGAGAAGGAGGCGUUACUAAGUUUAUAUAGGAUUUGUUACACCAAAGACAGUAAGGCCAAGGGUGUCGAUAAAGACAUUUGACAGGAGAGAGGAGGGCAUAGAGCUGUGUUAAACAGUGGCACUAAACAGUACAGUUCUAUAUACUGUGGAAAGAGGAGACAGGUGAAACUGUAGCAGUUUUGGGGUUGAGAGAUAAGGGUAUUUGGGGGGAACAGUGGAACCGGUGGAACAGUAGCAGUGUCAUACAGCCGUAUCCUUUAGGAGCUGUAUCGUCUUGCAUAGCUUGAGGACUACAGAACCAGCAGAGCGAUGAGUAACAUUUUUAUGAUAGAAUUUAUCUCUCUUCUGGCUGUCUCUGCAACCUGGAGCCAGGAUACAGGAGUUAACCACAACAUUUCUGCCAGCUCACACUCUUUCCUAACCUCAAUUGUGACCACAGGCCGUCCACCUAUAAUUGCUGUUACCCGGAGUGUAGUGGCCAGAGAAGGACAGGACCUCAACUUAAUGUGCAGCAACAAAACUUGGAAUGAGAUGAUCUACACCAUUUGGAAAAUAAACAUUGAUGGAUCCGAGUGUCAAGUAUCAUUUGAUAAUCAAAAGGAACUUAACACAUGCAACGAUGGAAAGCAAAUGCACAACUCAACCAGAGGUGAAUCCUACCUGCUUAUUCCUCAGUUCUCAGUCAGGGACCAGGGUGUCUACCACUGUGAGUCAGUCUACAAAGGUGGGAUCAACUCUCAAGACAUUACCGUAACAAUUAUAGCCCCUCCCGAGGUUAAAUUCCAGCUGGAAAUGAUCGAAGGGAGAAGAGUGGCUGUGUGUUUGGUUAAAGGCAAACCAGCUGCCUCCAUUUCAUGGAGAAACACGUGGAACUCUUCAAUCACCCCGCAGAACACCAAUGACUCAAACCAAGUGACCAGUUCUCUACCCUUGCCAGAAGGCGUCAAUACCGAAAACCUGACCUGUGCAGUCACACAUCCAUUCUGGAACCAGGAGAAAAUGUAUCUACCGACAAACGAGACAGUUGAAGCCACCCAAGACACCCGGCCUUGGCUUCUAGUCAGCAUCUCUGUGGUAACUAUAACGAUCAGCGUCAUCAUGGUAACCCUGGGCGGUUUAUACUUUACACGAAAACACCUCUGCAGAAUAAGAGCCGCCACGCCGUCGGUGUCCAAGGCUCCGCAGCCACAGGACUGUGUGGAGGAAGUGGAGCCCUACGCCAGCUAUGUUCAGCGAGUCAAUUCCAUCUACAACUCCUCUGCAGAGCUUUUCACAUAGCACACGCUCACGCACUCACAUGCACAUCUCACCGUGACGCUGUGAGAAAAUGCCAGUAGAUGAAAGUUAGAAAAGCCACCAUGAGACAGUAAAUGAAACAGAGAGAGAGAGAGAGAGAGAGAGAGAGAGAGAGAGAGAGCGAGAGAGAUCAGGGCCAUCACACAUUAAAUACAACCACCUGGGUUUGAUCAGUCCCGACUGCGGAGGCUGAUGGAACAUGGACAUAACCGACGCAGUCACACCCCCAUCGGCCUUGUUGGCUGAAACCAGCUGAACCCAGGAAAAAUACCCCCUUUAGACAGUUGACAAAAACUUGGCUACAAUACAAAGUGUAAAGACGUUGUUUCUAGAAGGCUGUAGCACAGGAGAACGGACGUCGUCCAGGAACGCAGGCAGUCCGCUCAAGCAAGCCGGUUCUCUCCCCAGUCAGAGGCAACGCGCCCAGUCAGAGGCAACGCGCCCAGUCAGAGGCAACGCGCCCAGUCAGAGGCAACGCGCCCAGUCAGAGGCAACGCGCCCAGUCAGACUCGGUUCUCACGAUAAAAUGGGUACCUGAGUGGGAACCGUUGAGGAUCCGUUUUAUGCACUAGGUCAGCUCCUGGAUAAAAUGUCAAGUCAAACAGCAGUAGUUUCCAUCUCUUCAGUCACUGAAAGAAAUGAUGCCCUCAAAUCUCCCUACACCUCCAGUAAACACAGCCUAAAUCCUCCUGAUGGUCCUGUCAGACCACUAAACGGCUUUUGUUGUGUUAAGCUGGGGUCCCCGUAGAUGCUCUGCCUGAACCACAGGCCUGUGUUUCCAUGAUGGCUUGGACAACUUGUCUCACUACUAUAGCGACACCUAUAAAAUAAUGGCUCACUAGAGCUAAAGCAUGAGAAAAUGACAGAAAACACAGAAAUGUCUAGAAACAAAGAAACACAAGAGCUGGUCUGAGAUGUUGGCAGUUAUUGAUUUUUUGUUGGAAAUUGCUUGAAACUGUGAUUGUUCCGUCACAACUGUAAACCAAAUAGCACAAUGUUCUCACGUGCCUGUGUUUCUUCUGCAAAAAUUACAUUUCAUCAAUAUCUCUGUUGUGUAUGAUAGCUAUGUACUGUAUAAUAGCCAUGAUUAGUGUUGACUUUUUAUUUAUGAUUCAAUUUAAAUUUCAUGGUUGUGUUAUUACUUGAAAUGUUAAACUUUGUGUUCGACAGUUUCAGAUGGGAAAAAGGCUGCAUGCCCUUUGCUUUGAAGAAGAAUUCUCCAGAAGUGAAGCUUAGUAUAUCUGUUUGUAUUGAUAUAAGUCAUACCAUGUGACACUGUCAUGUUAAACUGCAGGGGACCCCUCUGCUGGAGAAGGGUGGUACUCAGUGAAUGGGAACAUUUAUUUCCUUUCUAUGAAAAUGUUUUCUAGGUUUUUGCUUACAAAAAUUAAAGGGAACGGAGGAAUUUAAAAAUGAAUACUGUGAAAACCUUUGAUGGAUUUCUCACUUUCAAAAACGUAGACAUUUCAGAGAGAUCACAGAGUUUGUGUAGGAGACCAGCAGAGGAAGCACUGCUUGAAUAGACACAACGUGAUCUAUAGUGACAAAGCAAAUGAAACAUUUUAGUGUAUGCCAAACAUUUCCAAUCCACACCUACACAUUCCUGCAGGUUACCCACUUGUACGUAUGAGAAACAGGACAGGCACAGUAAUAGGAACACCUACUUGACAAAUGACUUCAGUCUGAGUCACUGUGAGAAACAAAAUUAUACAUGGCAAAGCAAUAAAAGACUGUGAAUCAAAGAGCUUGAUUACACUGAGGAAUUAGUAACUAGUAAUAAGCUGUUACUAAAUUUCACAAAAUGGAAAGGGCAUAUUUGGGGCAAAUCUCCAUCCCCUGUCUAGCAUUGCAUCAUAACAGAGAACACAAGCCACCAGAGGUCUCUUCUAGACAAUACUAGCAAUGACGGCAAAAAAACAGAGCAACAUCUGCUAGCAUAUGGAGGACCAAAAUGAAAUAAUAUAAAAAAUAUUUAAAUGCAUAAUUAUUUUAAGUGGUACAUUGAUAGGAAAUCUUUUUAUAAGGCCCCUUUUUAAAAUAGUGGUAUGAUAUUUCAUAGUAAUACAUUGUCUUUCCUAAUCUUUUUAUUUUCAUCGCAACAGGUAUUUCAUAAAAUCUUUGCCUUUUUCAAAAAAUCGUGAUCUAUUUCAUAAAUUCAUGGUGUGUCUCAUCAUUUAAUGAUGUUUUUUCAUAACUGAAUUACAUAUUCCAACAUUCAAUUACAUAUUUCAACAUUUAAUGGCACAUUUCAACAUUUCAAUGUAUUUCAAAGUGUAUUUAAUGAUCACAAGGGAUAUGUCAAUCAAUGCACGUGGGUGGACUUUAGCUACGGAUAGGCUAAUCCAGCAACACCAGCUUCACCAACAGUUGCUCGUUUGUGGCCUUCAAACAGGAUUUUGCAGCAUUAGCGGUUGUACUGAGUUAUAGCAAUUCAUCAAGUUUGUAUGAAGAAAGUACUAGCAAAAUCCCUAUUAUUAAGUACAUAUGACAGUAUGUGGCAAUAGAAAUGCUAAAACAAACGAAAAUGCAGGUUGUCACUGCCAGUGUCUUUAGGGCUAUUGAGCCCUGGGUCUUUUUGGUGUAGCCCCAUUACGAGAAGCCUAAAGCAAACAAUACAUGCAUCGCCACUUGAAUAGAACAACACGGCGCGUUUUCGCUCCACGUAACGAGUCAAUCUGCAAACCCCGCUGUAAGUCCUACAGUCCGGUUGUGAGAGUGAGAGCGUGGGCUACUCAGCCAUGGCUUAGUGGCUGACUGGCCCUGGCCCGUGUCAGGGCCAGUGGAAACAGAAAAAAAUGGGUUGCUUCUUUUGGCCCCUUUGGAGUUUUUCCUAGCCACAGUGCAUCAACACUGUUGCUACCUUGAGAUUCAAACCUGGUCGCCCACGUGAAAGGCUGAGUCGUUAAACACAACACCACGGAGCUGUGCAUUUGCCAGGUGUCAGUAUAGCCUCUUGUCGCUAUCCUUAACAAAUCCUCUUUUGGCGCUGGCCGUUUUAAUAGUUAAUUGGCCAUUCGUGAAUGACAUUCAUACAGUUAAACUGACUAAUCUUUCUUACUAAGUUUGCCUCCCCCACAAAUAGCGGCUAUGAAUUGUGUUUGCCACUGGCUGUUUUAACAGCGUAAUAGCCAGUAAUAAGCUUUACCGGUAUUUACUAACUUACUGGAAUAGUCAUAAGAAUUUAGCAAUUGCUAGCGAGUCUACCAAAGCUAUUUAAUUUCAUGGCUUAAGAAGUUUUUUUAUAUCAUGGCAAAACAACAUACUUUUUCUUUAAUUCGUGAAUGACAUUUAUACAAUAACUAUCAAUAAAGGCGAGGAUAACUAACUUUUUCAUCAAGUGGAAAGACGAGAGAAUCAUGGAGAAAUAAUCUACCAGAAAUAAUAAAUGUUGUUGCUCUCAAUAGAUUCAAACUUAGAUCUACUACGCCACUACGCCACGGUAUCACACAUUUCAGCAGUCGCUAGACUCCAUUGAGUAUUGUGUUAAACUGACUAAAGUGAAUAAUCACAAGAAUUGAGAAAGUGGUGGUGAGACUGAAGAUGAACUAUUCCAUGCCAGAAAACGUCGCAAUAUAACCGUAUACAGUUUCAGCCAGCAAAGUUUUCGUCAAUACGGAAUAAUUCACAAUGCGUACUUUGCUUCUGCAAGGAAAUACGAACUCGAGACCUAUAGGUCACAAGUCCGCUUCUCUAACCACUAUGCUAUUUAACAAGCGGUAGUCAGUCAGUCAGUCACUCAGUCAGUAAGAGACAUUCACUCUUAAUUAAAAGUAUUUAAUUAUAAUGUGCCACUUAAAAUAAUAUAUUAAUGUAAUUAAUUAAGUGUUUAAUUAUUUAAUUUUGACCCCUUUGGUCAUAUUUGGUUCUCCAUACAAUGACGAGGCAUGACGAGGACUGUGAAGAGGCAGACACUAUUUGAUAUUAUGUAUUUUAUUUGUAUUGUGUAUUUUAUUAUGUUGUUU